rnacentral:rRNA from 1 species
CCGGACUGACUGCUAUCGGAUUGAUACUAAGCCAUGCGAGUCAUUGUAGCAAUACAAGGCAGACGGCUCAGUAACGCGUAGUCAAUCUACCCUAUGGACGGGAAUAAUCUCGGGAAACUGAGAAUAAUGCCCGAUAGAACAUUAUGCCUGGAAUGGUUUAUGUUUCAAAUGAUUUAUCGCCAUAGGAUGGGACUGCGGCCUAUCAGUUUGUUGGUGAGGUAAUGGCCCACCAAGACUAUUACAGGUACGGGCUCUGAGAGGAGAAGCCCGGAGAUGGGUACUGAGACACGGACCCAGGCCCUAUGGGGCGCAGCAGGCGAGAAACCUUAGCAAUGUGCGAAAGCACGACUAGGUUAAUCCGAGUGAUUCCUGUUGAAGGAAUCUUUUGUCAGUCGUAAAACCACAGACGAAUAAGGGGUGGGCAAGUCUGGUGUCAGCCGCCGCGGUAAUACCAGCACCUCGAGUGGUCAGGAGGUUUAUUGGGCCUAAAGCAUCCGUAGCCGGCUUUGCAAGUCUCCGGUUAAAUCCAGCUGCUCAACAGAUGGGCUGCCGGAGAUACUACACAGCUAGGGAGCGGGAGAGGCAGACGGUAUUCUGUGGGUAGGGGUAAAAUCCAUUGAUCCAUAGAGGACCACCAGUGGCGAAGGCGGUCUGCCAGAACGCGUUCGACGGUGAGGGAUGAAAGCUGGGGGAGCAAACCGGAUUAGAUACCCGGGUAGUCCCAGCUGUAAACGAUGCAAACUCGGUGAUGCAUUGGCUUAUGGCCAAUGCAGUGCCGCAGGGAAGCCGUUAAGUUUGCCGCCUGGGAAGUACGGACGCAAGUCUGAAACUUAAAGGAAUUGGCGGGGGAGCACCACAAGGGGUGAAGCCUGCGGUUCAAUUGGAUCAACGCCGG